GAUGAACGCUAGCUACAGGCUUAACACAUGCAAGUCGAGGGGUAACGAGAGGAAAGCUUGCUUUCCUUGUUGACGACCGGCGCACGGGUGAGUAACGCGUAUCCAACCUGCCCCCAACUAGGGAAUAACCUUGCGAAAGUAAGACUAAUACCCUAUAAUUUCCUCAGAUGUCAUCUGACGAGGAAUAAAGAUUUAUCGGUUGUGGAUGGGGAUGCGUCUGAUUAGCUUGUUGGCGGGGUAACGGCCCACCAAGGAAACGAUCAGUAGGGGUUCUGGGAGGAAGGUCCCCCACAUUGGAACUGAGACACGGUCCAAACUCCUACGGGAGGCAGCAGUGAGGAAUAUUGGUCAAUGGGCGGAAGCCUGAACCAGCCAAGUAGCGUGCAGGAUGACGGCCCUAUGGGUUGUAAACUGCUUUUAUACAGGAAUAAAGUUAGCCACGUGUGGUUAUUUGUAGGUACUGUAUGAAUAAGGACCGGCUAAUUCCGUGCCAGCAGCCGCCGUAA
rnacentral:rRNA from 1 species